GCCCCCAUGGUGUAAUGGACAGCACGAAAGCUUGCGGAGCUUUUGGUCAGGGUUCAAUUCCCUGUGGGGGCG
rnacentral:tRNA from 1 species